rnacentral:rRNA from 1 species
AACGAACGCUGGCGGCAUGCCUAACACAUGCAAGUCGAACGAGACCUUCGGGUCUAGUGGCGCACGGGUGCGUAACGCGUGGGAACCUGCCCUUAGGUUCGGAAUAACUCCCCGAAAGGGGUGCUAAUACCGGAUAAUGUCUUCGGACCAAAGAUUUAUCGCCUUUGGAUGGGCCCGCGUUGGAUUAGCUAGUUGGUAGGGUAAAAGCCUACCAAGGCGACGAUCCAUAGCUGGUCUGAGAGGAUGAUCAGCCACACUGGGACUGAGACACGGCCCAGACUCCUCGGGGAGGAAGAGGGGGGGAUUAUUGGAAAAGGGGGGAAAGCCUGAUCCAGCAAUGCCGGGGGAGUGAGGAGGGCUUUGGGGUGGAAAAGCUCUUUUACCGGGGAUGAUAAGGAAAGUACGGGGAGAAAAAGCUCCGGCUAACCCCGU